rnacentral:lncRNA from 1 species
ACGACUUUCUGUGUUUAAUUAUAAGCAACACAGACUGGUCUGAGCUUGCAUCACCUAUUGGACACUAACCUGAUGUAUAAUCCAAGGCAACCACUUACCUGUACUUCGGAUUCUUCACAUGUAAAUUAUUUCUCCAGCUUCUUGGACUGCCUAAGUCAUCUUCCAGGAUUUUUACAAGUUUGUCCUAAUUCCUGCUAUUCAAGAGAAA